CAGCAGCCGCGGGAAUACGAAGGGGGCUAGCGUUGCUCGGAAUUACUGGGCGUAAAGGGAGCGUAGGCGGACGUUUAAGUCAGGGGUGAAAUCCCGGGGCUCAACCUCGGAAUUGCCUUUGAUACUGGGUGUCUUGAGUAUGAGAGAGGUAUGUGGAACUCCGAGUGUAGAGGUGAAAUUCGUAGAUAUUCGGAAGAACACCAGUGGCGAAGGCGACAUACUGGCUCAUUACUGACGCUGAGGCUCGAAAGCGUGGGGAGCAAACAGGAUUAGAUACCCGUGUAGUCCCUGUCUCUUAUAC
rnacentral:rRNA from 1 species